AGCAGCCGCGGUAAUUCCAGCUCCAAUAGCGUAUAUUAAAGUUGCUGCAGUUAAAAAGCUCGUAGUUGAAUUUCGGGAUCAAUAUUUCGGUCAUGCCGUUGGUAUGCACUGUUAUCAUUGAUUCUCACCUUCUAAAGAACCGUAAUGCCAUUAAUUUGGUGUUACGGGGAAUUAGGACUGUUACCUUGAAAAAAUUAGAGUGUUUAAAGCAGGCUCACGCUUGAAUACAUUAGCAUGGAAUAAUGAAAUAGGACAUCCGAUUCUAUUUUGUUGGUUUCUAGGAUCGAUGUAAUGAUUAAUAGGGAUAGUUGGGGGCAUUAGUAUUCAAUUGUCAGAGGUGAAAUUCUUGGAUUUAUUGAAGACUAACUACUGCGAAAGCAUUUGCCAAGGAUGUUUUCAUUAAUCAAGAACGAAAGUUAGGGGAUCGAAGACGAUCAGAUACCGUCGUAGUCUUAACCAUAAACUAUGCCGACUAGGGAUCGGAUGAUGUUAAUUUAAUGACUCA
rnacentral:rRNA from 1 species